rnacentral:rRNA from 1 species
UGCGUAGGCGGUUUGGUAAGUCUGAUGUGAAAUCUCAGGGCUCAACUCUGAGACUGCAUCGGAAACUGCCGGGCUUGAGUAUGGGAGAGGUGAGUGGAAUUCCUGGUGUAGCGGUGAAAUGCGUAGAUAUCAGGAGGAACACCUGUGGCGAAAGCGGCUCACUGGACCAUAACUGACGCUGAUGCACGAAAGCUAGGGGAGCAAACAGGAUUAGAUACCCUGGUAGUCCUAGCCCUAAACGAUGACUGCUUGGUGUGGCGGGUACCCAAUCCCGCCGUGCCGUAGCGUAACGCGUUAAGCAGUCCGCCUGGGGAGUACGGUCGCAAGGCUGAA